rnacentral:rRNA from 1 species
AUUGAACGCUGGCGGCGUGCCUAAUACAUGCAAGUCGAGCGAAUGGAUUAAGAGCUUGCUCUUAUGAAGUUAGCGGCGGACGGGUGAGUAACACGUGGGUAACCUGCCCAUAAGACUGGGAUAACUCCGGGAAACCGGGGCAAAAACCGGAUAACAUUUUGAACCGCAUGGUUCGAAAUUGAAAGGCGGCUUCGGCUGUCACUUAUGGAUGGACCCGCGUCGCAUUAGCUAGUUGGUGAGGUAACGGCUCACCAAGGCAACGAUGCGUAGCCGACCUGCGAGGGUGAUCGGCCACAAUGGGACUGAGACACGGCCCAGACACCUACGAGAGGCAGCAGUAGGGAAUCGUCCGCAAUGGACGAAAGUCUGACGGAGCAACGCCGCGUGAGUGAUGAAGGCUUUCGGGUCGUAAAACUCUGUUGUUAGGGAAGAACAAGUGCUAGUUGAAUAAGCUGGCACCUUGACGGUACCUAACCAGAAAGCCACGGCUAACUACGUGCCAGCAGCCGCAGUAA